ACAAAAUAGAUAAUCAAUAAUAUGAAUAUUAACAAGUUAUUUACAUUAUUAUGUUAUUAAUUUUUUACACUUUUCUUAUAUCUUAAUUUUAUUUUUUUAAUUUAUUAUUUUUUCUGCUUUUAUAUUAGUUAUAAGUACUACCUCGCUAACACUUAAGUACUAUUUUAUAUUAAGCUCUAUUAUUUGGAUCAUCCCUCCUAAUGUCUUACACUUUUUUAUUUUUAUAAUUAUAUUAUUAACACGGAAAUUUUUGAAAAGCAUGAUAAUCGAGUAGAUAAUACCUAAGAAUAAUAAAGUAAUUAGGAACUAUAUUUUUUUAAAUAAUACGCACAUCUGUCUUUAUUCUAUUUACGAAAAAAAAAAAAAACAAAAAAAAAAAAAAAAAAAAAA